rnacentral:rRNA from 1 species
GAUGAACGCUGGCGGCGUGCCUAAUACAUGCAAGUCGAGCGAACGGACGAGAAGCUUGCUUCUCUGAUGUUAGCGGCGGACGGGUGAGUAACAUGUGGAUAACCUACCUAUAAGACUGGGAUAACUUCGGGAAACCGGAACUUAUUACGGCUGAUAUUUUGAACCGCAUGGUUCAAAAGUGCAAGGCGGUCUUGCUGUCACUUAUAGAUUGAUCCGCGCUGCAUUAGCUAGUUGGUAAGGUAACGGCUUACCAAGGCAACGAUGCAUAGCCGACCUGAGAGGGUGAUCGGCCACACUGGAACUGAGACACGGUCCAGACUCCUACGGGAGGCAGCAGUAGGGAAUCUUCCGCAAAGGGCGAAAGCCUGACGGAGCAACGCCGCGUGAGUGAUGAAGGUCUUCGGAUCGUAAAACUCUGUUAUUCGGGAAGAACAUAUGUGUAAGAAACUGUGCACAUCAUGACGGUACCUAAUCAGAAAGCCACGGCUAACUACGUG